UUCUUUAACUUUUCCCACAGUGUUACUGAUCGGUGGAAAGGCCUGGAGAUCCUUACAAAGCUGUUGCAAAGAAUGUUUUGUGAAGGCAUCAGAAUGAGGCUACACCCAUACAGAUCUUCCCAUGAUCCUUUCUUGGAACCUGGAAACUCUGGGAAGACGCUGCUAAUCCUGCUGGCUAACACUGUGUUCCCACCCUUGCCUAAGGAAUACACCUAAUGCUACCCGAGGAGCACCAGUGGGCACACCAGCCACAGAAUAACAUGAAUUUUCUGAAGAAUCAAUUUUACUUGAUGGAACAAAAGUGUGUAGUAUAUGAAUCAAAAUGUGUUCCUUUCCUGUGUCACCUGGUGGGUUCUUCACGAGGAGACUCUGAGACAGCUUAGUGUGCAGUUCAGGAAGUGCCCUUGGAUGAACACCUGUGGAAUGAAUUGAAGCAAGAUUGGAAAGAGGGAAAAAUCAAUGCGGGAUGCAGGCCUGAGUAACAGCAUCAGCUAACCUCG
rnacentral:lncRNA from 1 species